rnacentral:rRNA from 1 species
UACGUAGGUGGCAAGCGUUGUCCGGAUUUAUUGGGUUUAAAGGGUGCGUAGGCGGCCGCUUAAGUCAGUUGUGAAAUAUCCCGGCUCAACCGGGAGGGUGCGAUUGAUACUGGGCGGCUCGAGUAACAGCGAGGUUGGCGGAAUUGACGGUGUAGCGGUGAAAUGCAUAGAUAUCGUCAAGAACACCGAUAGCGAAGGCAGCCAACUAGGGGUUAACUGACGCUGAGGCACGAAAAGUGCGGGGAUCAAACAGG